GACAUUUCUUUCUUAGUUUGACGAUCUUUACACUCCAUGAACAAUUUCCAUUGAGUGGUUUCCCCCCUAACGUGGGGCCUGCAUCAUAAGUGUGAGUCCAGUUCACCCAUUUGGAAACCAAAGAUUUUACUGUGGCAUCAAAGGUGCUGACUGUCACAAGUAGCAACAAACAGGCUUAAUAAUGCUAGCUAUAUUGAUUCUGUCACGUUUGGUCAUGUUGACUCGUCAUGGUUGGCUACAGUGACAUUAGUCAUGUUUUCCUUUAGUUUGUUUCAAUCAUUUCUAAAGUCUGAAGUUACCCAGUUAAAUUUUUUAUUCAUCACCGCUGUGUCCAGCAACCUCCAUCAUAGUCCUCGGUGCUGACGCUGCAAAAAUUCCUAAUGAAUUUACAACUGUUCUUUUUGCUUUUAAUUUUGAUGAACUAUGGUAUUUCCAUGUCAUUCUAUGCUGUACUGUUAUGCACGCUACUCUGUAUUACUGAGAUGGAAAGGGAAGGAUCAGGUAGAGCAGUUAGUUUGUAGCUUUAGGAAUUUAAGUCUGCACAAUUAUAUUGCUCAGUGAGUUUGAAGCAUUCGACCUUAAAGUCUGCACAAUUAUAUUGCUUUUAGAGGAAAUCUGGUUUCAUUUGUAUCUCCUUAAUUCAGGCUAGAGUAUUAUGCAGUAUCUAUGGAGUAUAGACACCUUGCCAGAGGUCAGCUACCAGUGUCGGAAGCUUCUCACGCGCCAGCACUCCCCAGACACUCUCCGGACAACUAUUCCACGUUCAAAGUGGCAGGGGGAGGUUAAAUGGAAGGGGGAGGUCAAGUGGAAGGGGAAUGUCAAGUGGCAUAGGACGGUCAAGUGGAAGAGAAAGGACAAAUGGAAGGGGAUUUCAAAUGGAAGGGGAGUGUCAAGUGGCAUAGGCUUGAUUUAUGUUGCAUUCCACUGAUCUUUGUUGUUCUGGUUUGAAAUUCCCCUAUGGGCAAUGCUGUCGGACGACUUGUUGUGGAAUGUUCAACAUAUUGAUCUGAUAUUCAAAUGACUGCUUCUACUUUUUUGGUUAUAGUUGUACGACAUCCUACUGCUUCGAUUAUGUAUAUGCGACCAUUGUUACUGACCAUCUCAUCCACGUAUCUCAGUUUUAUUCGGGGGGAAGCAAGUACAAAAAUGAAGGGUGAAUGGCGGUGUA